rnacentral:rRNA from 1 species
ACCGAGUUUUCAACUCCCAAACCCCUGUGAACAUACCUAGACGUUGCUUCGGCGGGACCGCCCCGGCGCCCACCUCGCGGCCCGGAACCAGGCGCCCGCCGGAGGACCCAAACUCUUUGCUUUGAUCAGUGGCAUUCUCUGAGUCUCAAAACAAAAAUGAAUCAAAACUUUCAACAACGGAUCUCUUGGCUCUGGCAUCGAUGAAGAACGCAGCGAAAUGCGAUAAGUAAUGUGAAUUGCAGAAUUCAGUGAAUCAUCGAAUCUUUGAACGCACAUUGCGCCCGCCAGUAUUCUGGCGGGCAUGCCUGUCCGAGCGUCAUUUCAACCCUCAAGCCCCCCCAUCUCGGGGCGGCUUGGUGUUGGGGACCGGCCGCGCGCCGCCCCCGAAAUGCAGUGGCGACCUCGCCGCAGCCUCCCCUGCGCAGUAGCACAACCUCGCACCGGAGCGCGGAGACGGUCACGCCGUAAAACGCCCAACUUUCUCAAGAGUUGACCUCGGAUCAGGUAGGAAUACCCGC